UACUUCAGUGGGAGGAGAGGGACACUGUGACAUUGCCGGCCCUACUUGUGACAGCCCUGAGUCCAGCCCCAGCAGCUGCCCCCCUGCGAAAGCUCUGCCUUUGGGGUCCUCAGUCCCUGCCCAAGCAGCUUGGGAAAGCUGAGCUACCUCCUCGCUCUGCCACUUACUGCAUGUGUCAACCUCCCCCCAUGACUCAGUUUCUCCAUUUGUGCUGGAGAUGAAGAGCUGACCAGGGAAGGCCCAGAGCAGCACAGAGCCGUCUCAGAGGCAGCCCAUGGACAACUCUGUGACCUUGAGAGGGAGCCAGAAGCUUCCAGCUGACUGGGGAAGAGGCAAGUGUGGAACGGUGGGCCUGGGACCCGCAGCAGGGUGGGAGAGGCAGCUCUCAGCCUCCCUGGCGGGGAAUGCAGGCCGCAGGAUCAUUCUGCAGCUCUGAGUGAGGUGCUGAGUGAGGGAGGCUGAGGGACGGCCCUUAUCCAGGCUACUGAGCACGCUCACACCCACAGAAGAUCCGCUCGCACCAAAGGCCAGAGCGGGGUCCGGCCCACUGGCGAGCUUGGGUUUGUGGCCUUGGAUGCCACAGCCCAAGGAGGCCACUCCGGAGUGUGAGAAACCUGCCAGAGACCAGCUCUUCAUGCAGGUUUCCAGCACCUGACGGCAAAGGGGGUGAGGGGCCGGGCAGGACAGCAGGGAGCGGCCCCCACCCUCACCCUGGCCAGCCCAGGAGAGGGAGGAGCAGCCCGGAGGACUCGGCAGCGGAGGCUCCGGGCCCUGAGACAGCUCACUGACCCUUGGCAGGGCGAUGCAAUGUGGGGUGACCAGCCCUGCCUUCUCCACGGCCACAUGUGAGCAGCACCUGUACACACUUUUCUCACUGCCUGUCUCCUUUUAUUUUUAACAAUUACUUUCUUUUUUUUUUUUUUUUUUUUAACAAUUACUUUCUUUAUUUAUUACGGUGCUGAGGACUGAACCCAGGACCUUGCAGAAAUUAGGUAAAUUCUCUACCAACGAGCUACAUCUCCAGUCCACUUGUCUUUUUUUUAAUUAAUUCAGUACCACCUAUUUUGGACUUUUCCAAAACUGUCCUGCACACUUGAGAAAUAAAGCUAACACACUAAAUAAAAGAUGCAGUUAAGGGCUGGGGAUUUAGCUCAGCGGUACAAGUGCCUGCCUGGCAAGUACAAGGUCAGGAGUUCUAUCCCUAGUACCAAAAAAAAAAAAAAAAAAAAAAAAAAAAAGAUGCAAAUGUGAUUAUGUUUAUUUUGUCUUUUUUAAGAGAGGAUCUUGCUGUGCAGUUCAGGCUGGCCUUGAGCUCACUUUGUAGCCCAGGCUGGUCUCGAACUUGCAAUGAUCUUUCUGCCUCAGCUUCCCAAGUGCUGGGAUUACAAGGGUACACCACCAUGCCUGGCUCAAAAGAUGCAAUUAUUAAAAGGAAAAACUUUUGUUCUCCCUGCCUAGAAGCACCUUUCUUCUGAGGUGGUUGGCGUGUGGCCCCGACACAGACAGCCUGUCCUGAUCUGCUGUGACAUCUCAGGCCUGGCAUGGGAGUCCCCUGGCACCUCCGCUGGAAGGACAGUGCUGUCCUGGUCUGGAGACCUGGAAA